rnacentral:rRNA from 1 species
AUUGAACGCUGGCGGCAGGCCUAACACAUGCAAGUCGAACGGUAGCACAGAGAGCUUGCUCUCGGGUGACGAGUGGCGGACGGGUGAGUAACGUCUGGGAAACUGCCCGAUGGAGGGGGAUAACUACUGGAAACGGUAGCUAAUACCGCAUAACGUCGCAAGACCAAAGUGGGGGACCUUCGGGCCUCACACCAUCGGAUGUGCCCAGAUGGGAUUAGCUAGUAGGUGGGGUAAUGGCUCACCUAGGCGACGAUCCCCAGCUGGUCUGAGAGGAUGACCGGCCAGACUGGAACUGAGACACGGUCCAGACUCCUACGGGAGGCAGCAGUGGGGAAUAUUGCACAAUGGGCGCAAGCCUGAUGCAGCCAUGCCGCGUGUAUGAAGAAGGCCUUCGGGUUGUAAAGUACUUUCAGCGGGGAGGAAGGCGGUGAAGUUAAUAGCUUCACCGAUUGGCGUUACCCGCAGAAGAAGCACCGGCUAACUCCGUGCCAGCAGCCGCAGUAA